UUAAGCGACUAAGCGUACACGGUGGAUGCCCUGGCAGUCAGAGGCGAUGAAGGGCGUGCUAAUCUGCGAUAAGCGCCGGUAAGGUGAUAUGAACCGUUAUAACCGGCGAUACCCGAAUGGGGAAACCCAGUGUGACUCGUCACACUAUCAUUAACUGAAUCCAUAGGUUAAUGAGGCGAACCGGGGGAACUGAAACAUCUAAGUACCCCGAGGAAAAGAAAUCAACCGAGAUUCCCCCAGUAGCGGCGAGCGAACGGGGAGGAGCCCAGAGCCUGAAUCAGCAUGUGUGUUAGUGGAAGCGUCUGGAAAGGCGCGCGAUACAGGGUGACAGCCCCGUACACAAAAGCGCAUGUGCUGUGAGCUCGAUGAGUAGGGCGGGACACGUGGUAUCCUGUCUGAAUAUGGGGGGACCAUCCUCCAAGGCUAAAUACUCCUGACUGACCGAUAGUGAACCAGUACCGUGAGGGAAAGGCGAAAAGAACCCCGGCGAGGGGAGUGAAAAAGAACCUGAAACCGUGUACGUACAAGCAGUGGGAGCCCCACCACUAAGCCAGUGGUGAACUCCACAUCCGCAUCCUUUGCUGAGGAUACGGUUAACGGAGCGAAAGCGACGUUCAACCGCAAAACAAGCAGAGGGGGCUUAGUGGUGGGGUGACUGCGUACCUUUUGUAUAAUGGGUCAGCGACUUAUAUUCUGUAGCAAGGUUAACCGAAUAGGGGAGCCGGAGGGAAACCGAGUCUUAAUUGGGCGUUAAGUUGCAGGGUAUAGACCCGAAACCCGGUGAUCUAGCCAUGGGCAGGUUGAAGGUUGGGUAACACUAACUGGAGGACCGAACCGACUAAUGUUGAAAAAUUAGCGGAUGACCUGUGGCUGGGGGUGAAAGGCCAAUCAAACCGGGAGAUAGCUGGUUCUCCCCGAAAGCUAUUUAGGUAGCGCCUCGUGAAUUCAUCUCCGGGGGUAGAGCACUGUUUCGGCUAGGGGGCCAUCCCGGCUUACCAACCCGAUGCAAACUGCGAAUACCGGAGAAUGUUAUCACGGGAGACACACGGCGGGUGCUAACGUCCGUCGUGAAGAGGGAAACAACCCAGACCGCCAGCUAAGGUCCCAAAGUCAUGGUUAAGUGGGAAACGAUGUGGGAAGGCCCAGACAGCCAGGAUGUUGGCUUAGAAGCAGCCAUCAUUUAAAGAAAGCGUAAUAGCUCACUGGUCGAGUCGGCCUGCGCGGAAGAUGUAACGGGGCUAAACCAUGCACCGAAGCUGCGGCAGCGAACGUAUCACUUAAAGCGAUUCAGCGGGUUACGAUUGACGGAGCGAAGCGACGUCAAAGCGUAUACAAAGUCGAGUCGGUUUAAGGAUACGUUCGUUGGGUAGGGGAGCGUUCUGUAAGCCCGUGAAGGUGGCCUGUGAGGGUUGCUGGAGGUAUCAGAAGUGCGAAUGCUGACAUAAGUAACGAUAAAGCGGGUGAAAAGCCCGCUCGCCGGAAGACCAAGGGUUCCUGUCCAACGUUAAUCGGGGCAGGGUGAGUCGACCCCUAAGGCGAGGCCGAAAGGCGUAGUCGAUGGGAAACGGGUUAAUAUUCCCGUACUUGGUGUUACUGCGAAGGGGGGACGGAGAAGGCUAUGUUGGCCGGGCGACGGUUGUCCCGGUUUAAGCGUGUAGGUGUGUGUUCCAGGUAAAUCCGGUUCACUUUAACACUGAGGCGUGACGACGAGGCACUACGGUGCUGAAGCAACAAAUGCCCUGCUUCCAGGAAAAGCCUCUAAGCAUCAGGUAACACGAAAUCGUACCCCAAACCGACACAGGUGGUCAGGUAGAGAAUACCAAGGCGCUUGAGAGAACUCGGGUGAAGGAACUAGGCAAAAUGGUGCCGUAACUUCGGGAGAAGGCACGCUGACACGUAGGUGAAGUGAUUUACUCAUGGAGCUGAAGUCAGUCGAAGAUACCAGCUGGCUGCAACUGUUUAUUAAAAACACAGCACUGUGCAAACACGAAAGUGGACGUAUACGGUGUGACGCCUGCCCGGUGCCGGAAGGUUAAUUGAUGGGGUCAGCGCAAGCGAAGCUCCUGAUCGAAGCCCCGGUAAACGGCGGCCGUAACUAUAACGGUCCUAAGGUAGCGAAAUUCCUUGUCGGGUAAGUUCCGACCUGCACGAAUGGCGUAAUGAUGGCCAGGCUGUCUCCACCCGAGACUCAGUGAAAUUGAACUCGCUGUGAAGAUGCAGUGUACCCGCGGCAAGACGGAAAGACCCCGUGAACCUUUACUAUAGCUUGACACUGAACAUUGAGCCUUGAUGUGUAGGAUAGGUGGGAGGCUUUGAAGUGUGGACGCCAGUCUGCAUGGAGCCGACCUUGAAAUACCACCCUUUAAUGUUUGAUGUUCUAACGUGGACCCGUAAUCCGGGUUGCGGACAGUGUCUGGUGGGUAGUUUGACUGGGGCGGUCUCCUCCUAAAGAGUAACGGAGGAGCACGAAGGUUGGCUAAUCCUGGUCGGACAUCAGGAGGUUAGUGCAAUGGCAUAAGCCAGCUUGACUGCGAGCGUGACGGCGCGAGCAGGUGCGAAAGCAGGUCAUAGUGAUCCGGUGGUUCUGAAUGGAAGGGCCAUCGCUCAACGGAUAAAAGGUACUCCGGGGAUAACAGGCUGAUACCGCCCAAGAGUUCAUAUCGACGGCGGUGUUUGGCACCUCGAUGUCGGCUCAUCACAUCCUGGGGCUGAAGUAGGUCCCAAGGGUAUGGCUGUUCGCCAUUUAAAGUGGUACGCGAGCUGGGUUUAGAACGUCGUGAGACAGUUCGGUCCCUAUCUGCCGUGGGCGCUGGAGAACUGAGGGGGGCUGCUCCUAGUACGAGAGGACCGGAGUGGACGCAUCACUGGUGUUCGGGUUGUCAUGCCAAUGGCACUGCCCGGUAGCUAAAUGCGGAAGAGAUAAGUGCUGAAAGCAUCUAAGCACGAAACUUGCCCCGAGAUGAGUUCUCCCUGAGACUUAGAGUCUCCUGAAGGAACGUUGAAGACGACGACGUUGAUAGGCCGGGUGUGUAAGCGCAGCGAUGCGUUGAGCUAACCGGUACUAAUGAACCGUGAGGCUUAACCUU
rnacentral:rRNA from 1 species